UACAGGGGGGGCAAGCGUUGUUCGGAAUUACUGGGCGUAAAGGGCUCGUAGGUGGCCAACUAAGUCAGACGUGAAAUCCCUCAGCUUAACUGGGGAACUGCGUCUGAUACUGGAUGGCUUGAGUUUGGGAGAGGGAUGCGGAAUUCCAGGUGUAGCGGUGAAAUGCGUAGAUAUCUGGAGGAACACCGGUGGCGAAGGCGGCAUACUGGACCACAUCUGACGCUGAGGCGCGAAAGCCAGGGGAGCAAAGCGGG
rnacentral:rRNA from 1 species